GGCUGGGGGGCGGGACGCCGCGCCGCCGGCUUCGGCGUCUCCCUGGCCGAGGGGGGGAGGGGCGCUGCUGCCCCUCUCAGCGUGGGGCGCCGCGCGGGUCGCGUGGAGCCGGUAACAGCCGGGAGCGUCAGGCCGCCUCGGCCCUCCCCGGGGCGCUGGGCGGGGGCGGCCCCGCUCCCGCCGGGGGGGCGCUUGCGGUGUGCGAGGAGAGGGGUGUGGCGCGGCUGCGCCGCGUGCCGCCUGGGCGCCGCCGAUAAGGGCGGUCGGCGGGGCCGCCGCGGCCGGUGGGAGCGGGGCUCCGGGGAGGAGGGCGCCGCGGCCGGCCCCGGGGCUGGCGCCUGUGCCCACAUUCCCGUGUUGACCGAAAGCCUGUCCCUCCAGGCAGUUACUGCUGCGAGUGUGUGUUUUUCCUUUAGGAGUAUGACAUCAAGCUCUGUGUUUAUUUGGCUAAAUACCUGAGAAACUGCUAAGAGAUAAAGCGCAGUUCCUGUUUUCCCCGCUCGCUGCCAAGGGAUACUUUUGCGCGGUGAAUCUAAAUGAUAAACUGGAAAUUGAAGCUCCAGUCUGAGAAAACUCCAAGUCACACGAAUGAGUGAAUUGCCGAAGGGAUUUAGUUUCUGCUAAUGCAAGGAUGAUUUACCAGCUUCAGUGAGCCAUGCAAGAGCUGACAUACAGCUUUAGUGUACAGAGGGAGAAGUUCUUUAAAUUAGAGAGUGUAACCCAAGAAGCAAAGCCAAGUUAAGCAGUCCCCAGUUGCUGCUCACAUCUCAUUCCCACUGCCUCGGUUAUUUUGAUAAAAGUGCUUGUGUAACCAAAACCAUAUCUGGGAGGUAAUCUGUGUUAAAAGCAAUAUAUAUGGAAAAAAAGUUACUUCUAACCUGCAUCACUUCUCAAGUCUGGUCUGCACAGUCACACAAGAAAUACUGCCUUAACUGAGUGGUUAACACAUGAGUAGGAAGGAGCCAGGGAGUUGCAACCACUUAAACUGGCAUUGCCACCAAAAUAAAUGCUUAUGCCCUUUGCACAGAAAAUAAAUACUUUACCAGUACAUAAUAAAUCAGUAUGAAUACUAUUUAUGUCAUCUUCAAACAACUGAUUUUACAUAUUGGGUCUUCAUCACUAUCUUUUUAACAUGUUUUUUGAAGAACUGGGUUAAAAGAGUUAGGUAUAUUUCAGUUACAAUCUUACGAGACACGGAAAAUUUUGUUGAAAGAAAAGUUCAUAGAUUGUCAUGGCAUCAGUAAAGACAGGAAAAGGGAUAUGCUGCUUAUGUAAAUAUUACUUACAGAUUUAUUUUUAGUUAGGGCUCAGACCUCUGAAGAUUAUAUAGAUUAGAUUGACAAAAAUUUAAAAAAUGGCAUUCUAAUUGAAAUAAUACUGUAUUUAAUAAAUUAUAGAAAUGAUUCCAUUA